AUUGUGAAGCAGCUAACCACCACUACCAGAGCAGCCCUGCAGCUCCUGAAUGGGUAGUCCCUGUGACCUGCACUGGCAACAAUAACAACCACCAUCUCCGACAUUAAUACCACUCUGACAACGCUGAAGAACCUUUCCUUUUGAGAUGAGUCAGAAAGCUCAAAGAAGAAUAGAAGUGGAAAAAAGGAGGAACAGAGAGAUGAAGUGACAUGCCCAAGUCACACAGCAGCUUAGUGACAACUGGAACACCACCCAUGGCUCUUGAUACAAAGGGCAGUGCCAUGAUUGCUAGACCAUGCUACUGUACCAUUUGCCAAUGACAAUUUUAAGAAAUGAAUGAAUAAUAAAAAUUACUAGGAGCUUGGUAUUCUAAUUUCUAUAAAUAUAUAAUGUCUUCAAGUUUACACAGGGAAAAAAUAACUCAAAAGAUGCAAAUGUUUUCCUUUAAAGCUUGAGUUUAAUCUGCAAUCAGACACUUAGCUUACUCAAAAAAGCAUAGGAUAUGAACUCUUCUGACCGAUAAUAAAAUAAAAUAGGUAUAUUAUUUUAGUCCCAGGUUGUAUCUACAUUAGGCUCUGCCAAAAAUAUCCCACCAUUGCUACUACUGGUCAGUGGCAGCAGUAGUAUAGAUAGGGUCUAAGGAAGCCACUGGCAUUUUAACCAUAGAGUCUUCUAACCAUGUUUAGAGCAGUCUAGAUGACCUGGGGAUUAAAACAUCAACAACUACCAGCACCUUAUUUAGACUUGGGCUCCAACUGUUGUUGCCACCAGCAGUACUGAAUCAGCAAUAGCAAUAGUACAAAGAGUCUCAUGAGACCUGUUCCUGAGAGGUGCUGAGCUUCUGCUGUUCUUAUCAGCAUCGUUGUGAUAUUUAGAAAUUCUGAAGCUCAGGGCAAGAUUAGUUCAUUAAACAGAUGUGAAGUCUCUGGUCUCACUAUCUGGUAUCUUUUAUGAUUUUCAGCUAUAAGGGUAUAAGCUAUACCAUCAUAUGCACUUUUAGAUUGGUAAAACUGCAUUCACGGUAGGAAGUUGUAUUGCUUGAACUACACUAGAACCUCAGAGUUAUGAACACUAGAAUUACAAACUGACCAGUCAACCACACACCUC